GACGAACGCUGGCGGCGUGCUUAACACAUGCAAGUCGAACGGAAAGGCCCCUUUGGGGGUCCUCGAGUGGCGAACGGGUGAGUAACACGUGAGUAACCUGCCCUUGACUUCGGGAUAACUUCAGGAAACUGGGGCUAAUACCGGAUAGGAAUCCUUGCUGCAUGGUGGGGGUUGGAAAGCUUCGGCGGUUUUGGAUGGACUCGCGGCUUAUCAGCUUGUUGGUGGGGUAGUGGCUUACCAAGGCUUUGACGGGUAGCCGGCCUGAGAGGGCGACCGGCCACAUUGGGACUGAGAUACGGCACAGACUCCUACGGGAGGCAGCAGGGGGGAAUAUUGCACAAUGGGCGGAAGCCUGAUGCAGCAACGCCGCGGGCGGGAGGACGGCCUUCGGGUUGUAAACCGCUUUCAGCAGGGGCGAAGCUUGUGGUGACGGUACCUGCAGAAGAAGCACCGGCUAACUACGUG
rnacentral:rRNA from 1 species